GAUGAACGCUGGCGGCGUGCCUAAUACAUGCAAGUCGAGCGAAGCGGGGACGGGUGAGUAACACGUGGAUAACCUCCUAUAUGACUGGGAUAACUUCGGGAAACCGGUGCUUAACCGGAUACUUAUCGCUGGAUCCGCGCUGCAUUAGCUAGUUGGUAAGGUAACGGCUUACCAAGGCAAAGAUGCAUAGCCGACCUUAGAGGGUUGUCGGCCACAACGGAACUGAGACACGGUCCCGACUCCCACGGGAGGCAGCCGUAGGGAAUCUUCCGCAAUGGAGGAAAGUCUGACGGCGCAACGCCGCGGGAGUGAUGGCGGGCUUCGGGGUUGAAAGCUCUGUUAAUCGGGACGCGGUACCGGAAUAGAAAGCAACGGCUAACUCCGUGCCAGCAGCCGCGGUAAUAC
rnacentral:rRNA from 1 species